AAGUCGAAAACCUCCGCAACUCGAAAAAAUGUUUCAUCCCCUUCCCUUCAAGCCGUAAAACCUCUGUUACUCGAAAUUUUUACCCUCUAUAAGUCGAAAUAGUUAGUGAGUCCCUGCAAGCAAUUUCUGUACAUUUAUACCCUCCUUAACUCGAAUACAUACACUUGGACCUCUUUAUCUCGAAUUUAAAAUUAUUACCGUAUAUAAUUUACUUCCAUUGGAUGGAGAUGCUUCUGAGAGAUAACCAGGCAAUGAAGAGGCGGUCCAAGAUCUACAGAAGACAUUUCUUUCAAAGUACAGGCAAUUAUUUGCUGGUCAUCGGAUCCAAUUCGUGCUAAACCAACAGCUAAGCUAACUGUCUCCUGUCAAAACUAAAAAUAAAAAAAACGCCAUUCGGCCACACCCGAAAUGGAAGAGCAUUAAAUACCUGUUCAAUAUGAUAAUUAUCGAAAUCUGGUAUCGUCAUCCUAACACAAAUAUCUCUGAGACUCCACGUUCUGUAAUAAAAUGACAUAAAAGAUAAAUAAAAUAAAUAAAAAU